GUACCUGGUGACACACAUGGCAAUAGGAGUGUGUGUGCACAUGGGGGCCAAGGGACAAUACUGGGCAUCAAUCUUUUUAGGCAGGACCUCUCAUGGACCUGGAACUCACAGAGCAGACUAGGCCCGCUGGUGAACCCCAGGGUUGUUUGUCUCUGUCUUCCCAGCAUUGGGGAUCACAAGCACAUGACCCCACACCUGGCUUUCAAACAAACCAAGCCACCUCCCCAGUGCCAGCUCUCAUUCAUUCUGACAGAAGGUCCUACCUAGCAGAUGUGCAGCCUUUACCUGACCUUUGUGAUUUGGGGAGCACCAAAACAAAGGCCGGCCUCCUUUCCUUCUCUUCCUCUUCUCCUUCCUCCUCCUGUACUAAAAGGACACGAGUCACAGGAAGUCCUUCUCUUCUCACUUCUGCAUUUGCAUUCCUUGAGACCUUUUGGAAUUCCCCGGGAUGAAAAGGAACCCAGAGCUCUUUGCCAGUGAGAUCGUUACCAGUUGGGCUCUCUGUCCGCUUGCCCUUUACAAAGCCAGGUGAGGUCCAUUAUUUACUGGCUUCAGCCGCAGAAGGCUCAUAUUUUAUCUGGCCAGACAACCUUACAGAUGGAGAAACCUCGGCGAACAGAGGUAAUUUCCUCAGUAAUAUUAGGGUGGAGCCAUGGCUGACACUGGCUGUGUAAAGCCACCGUGGCCUCGGUGGCAAUUAGAGGGAAUGCAGGGUGGGAAUGUCUCUCCUCACACAAAAUAAAAGGAAGUCUGCAAAGCUAGGCUGAAGGAGGCAAGGAACAGCCCAAAUCCCACCAACACUGAUGCUAUGCACAGGGGUGGGAAAAUUAUUUCUCUCCCUUUCCGCCCAGAGCUUUCUGAGGCGGCCCGUCUGUAUCAGCAGGAGGAUGGAUUAAGAGUCAUGACUCUUUCUCUCCAAGGACUGCUGCUCCAUUCUUUCCACACAGAGCCCAAAAGAUGGCUGUGCCCAACAGGUUUCCAAGCCACUCUGCCAAAACUGUGCUUGGGCUCUUGCACAGAUCACAUCUCACUACCCAUUAUGGCUUGUGGGAAGGCCUGAGGCCCAAAAAAUAUCCAUGACUUUCCUAACAAAACAUACCAACACUGGGCGGGGUGCUGACCUUCCUACAGUAGGGGUUAAACUGGAGAUUUACACCCGGUGAGGUGCUGUGUGCUCAAGGCUACAGGGUUGGGCAGCUUAUUAAGGGUUUUUAUACAAUCAAGCAAGAGGCUGACAAGACAGAGCAAGAUGGGACAGAACGAGACAGGAAAGUAGGCCUCCCCGGGUCACAGCUGCUCUCUCUCUCUCCCAUCGUCUCUGAAGGAUUUGUACUGUUUGUGUUAAUUUAAUCUGGAGAAGUACCUUGAUAUUUGAAAUCAUGACCCUGUAUUUGGAAAUUUAAAAGAUAAUUAAAUGCAUAUGGGUGUGGACAAGCAUGCAUGGGUGGAGGUCAACUUGAGGGAGACUGUUCUUCCCUUCCACAGUGGCAGCAUGACUUCGCACCACUGAGUCAUCUUGUCAUCUUGCAACCCCCAAAUUUAUCUAUUUUAAGAGGAGGGCUGGGCUGGCCAGGCAGCUAAGUAGGUACAGAUGUUUGUGGCCAAGACUGAGGACCUGAGGUUAACCCCCAGGACUCACAUGGUAAAGAAAAGAACUGAUUCACGCACGCACGCACGCACGCACGCACGCACGCACGCACGCACGCAGGACUCACAUGUGGAAGAAUCUGACAUUGGCACAUGUGUUGUAGAGAGAGAGAGCAACUUGUGAACCUGAAGGCUACACGAAGACUUCCUCCUGUCAGGAGUCCUCACUGAACCCCGGUGGAGAACAGGGUAAGGGGGUGGGGAUGCUCCUAUUCUGAGAUAAGAAUGGUUAUACUUCAUAAUAUGAUGGUUAAUAGCAUAUUAUAGCAGGAUAAAAGACCUACACUGGGGACUGUACAUAUAGUCUAAGAUGGGUGGGCACACGGUACCCAUGAAAGACCCCAGCUUAGCAGCAGUAACGCCAUUUUGCAAGGCUGUACUUAAGAUGACUGGUUCAGGGAAAGGUUAGAACACUGAGUACACAGCAGCUGCCAAGCAGGAUGUGUUUGGUUGAAGGCCUGGCAACAGGACGACUUCGGUUGAGCACCUGACAAUGAAAAAAAGCCCCGGGAGAGGUCCCACACCCUGGUGGGGGGCCGAGUCAGUCGUUAUGUUCCAAGAAGGUAGCUAAGAAACUUGCCCCCGGGCUAAACCCUUGCCAUAUUAGAAUCCACCAAUUAUAUCCCUGUAACCAUGCAUCUGCUUCUGUAUGCUUGCUUCUGCUCCCCAAAAUCCUAUAAAAGCCCAUCCUUGGUUCUGUGGGGCGCGCCAGUCCCCCGAGUGACUGAAGCGCCCGCAGGUGCCUGUGCCUGUGUAUCCCGACAAUAAACCAAAUCCUCUUGCUGAUUGCAUCCUGUGGUGUCUCGGUCUGGUCUUUGGAGUUAGAGGGUCUCCAUCCCGAGGGAAAGUUCUCCCUGAGAGCUUUUCAUUUGGUGCGUUGGCUGGGAAAGGAGAUCCUCCACCCAGGGACCACCGACCACCCACUGGGAGGUAAGCCGGCCGGCGUCUGUCUGUCUGUCUGAUUUUGUCUCGUUCUGCCUUAUUCUGUCUGUUCUGUGAGCGCUCAGCCAGGUUGUUUGGAAUUUGGGCGGGACGAAGAAGGAGCUGACGAGCUCGGACUUCUCGCCCCGCAGCCCUGGAAGACGUUCCAAGGGUGUUAGGGGCCCGACUUUUCGGGGCCCAAUCUGGGAGAGGAGAAAGAUCCGGACUAACGGCACCUCUGUCUGUAUUUUUGGCUUUCAGAGGGCCCCGGACCUUUGCCACCUCCAUCUGACUUUUUGCUUUCAGUUUGGUACCAAAGCCGUGCAGCACGCCUGUCUGUUGUUUGUUUGACUGUUGGUGUUGUUUGUUUUCUCUGUGUUCUAAUCUUCCUUAGAACUAACAUGGGACAGUCCCUAACAACGCCCCUAAGUCUCACUCUUGAUCAUUAGAAAGACGUCCACGACCAGGCACACAACCAGUCCGUCGAGGUUAAAAAAAAAAGGAAAAUGGCAGACUAUCUGCACAUCUGAGUGGCCCACUUUCGGAGCGGGAUGGCCAGUGAAUGACACAUUUAAUAAGAUCAUUAUUUUACAGGUUAAAGAUCGGGCCGUCCACGGACAUCCUGACCAGGUUUCUUAUAUUAUCACUUGAGAGAGUCUCGCCUUAAACCCCCCCCCCCGGGCGGAACCCUUCGUGGACCCGAAUUGGCCUCCCCUCAACCCCCAGCCUGUCCCCUCGGCCCCGCCCGGUCCGCCGGCCACGUCUUCCUCUCUCUACCUUUGUGAAAUCAGAGCCUUCUAAGAAACCUGUCCUCCCGGCAGACCCAAACUCCCCUCUCAUAGAUCUUCUCUCUGACAGGCCCGGCUAAAACGGAGGAGGCAGAGCCGCCGGCCAGAUCAGUUGCCGGGCCACAGUCUGAUAAGGGUUUCUCCCCUGUCGCAGGGAGAUUGCGCAAUAAGCUCGAGGUGAUGCCAGAUACAACCUCCCAGGCUUUCCUACUUAGACAGGGAACCGGUGGCCAGACCCAGUACUGGCCGUUUUCAGCAGCUGACAUUUACAAUCAGAAACAAAACAACCCUUCUUUCUCCAAAGAUCCGGUGGCACUCACCGACCUAAUAGAAUCUGUUUUACUUACCCACCAGCCUACUUGGGAUGACUGCCAACAGCUCUUAUAGGCCCUCUUAACCUCAGAAGAAAAACAAAGAGUGUUCCUAGAGGCCAGAAAGCAUGUUCUGGGAGAUGAUGGGCGUCCCACCCAGCUGCCUGAGGACCAAACUGGGAUUUUAAUACAGCUGAAGCCCUUCUCUGAGGGCCCAUUUACAGGCCCUACAGAUUGUGCAGAGAGACGUCUGGAGACCUUUGGCCGCUGCUUACCAGGACAAGCUUGAGCAUCCGGUGGUGCCACACCCGUUCCAGAUUGGAGACACCGUGUGGGUGCACAGACACCAGACCAAGAAUCUCGAGCCACGGUGAAAAGGACCCUACACCGUCCUCCUGACUACCCCGACCGCCCUAAAGGUAGACGGAGUCUCGGCUUAGAUCCACACACCACACGUCAAGACAGUCCGGUCUGAGGAAUUGACUAAUCACAACACUACACCCCAGACAUAGAGAGUUCAGCACACUCCAAACCCCUUAAAGUUAAAACUCCUACGUGGCUCCUCCUAGCCCUUUUGUGGCCUAGAGUCAGUGGGGGAAUAAGCCCCCACCAGACAGAAAUUUCUUGACCAAGUCGAGUGAAAGAUUUCACUCAAAGUUAGCAAAAAAAUGGGGGAAUGAAAGACCCCAGCUUAGCAGCAGUAACGCCAUUUUGCAAGGCUGUACUUAAGAUGACUGGUUCAGGGAAAGGUUAGAACACUGAGUACACAGCAGCUGCCAAGCAGGAUGUGUUUGGUUGAAGGCCUGGCAACAGGACGACUUCGGUUGAGCACCUGACAAUGAAAAAAAGCCCCGGGAGAGGUCCCACACCCUGGUGGGGGGCCGAGUCAGUCGUUAUGUUCCAAGAAGGUAGCUAAGAAACUUGCCCCCGGGCUGAACCCUUGGGGGGCCGAGUCAGCCGUUAUGUUUCAGGAAGGUAGCUAGGAAACUUGCCCCCGGGCUAAACCCUUGCCAUAUUAGAAUCCACCAAUUAUAUCCCUGUAACCAUGCAUCUGCUUCUGUAUGCUUGCUUCUGCUCCCCAAAAUCCUAUAAAAGCCCAUCCUUGGUUCUGUGGGGCGCGCCAGUCCCCCGAGUGACUGAAGCGCCUGCAGGUGCCUAUGCCUGUGUAUCCUGACAAUAAACCAAAUCCUCUUGCUGAUUGCA